rnacentral:rRNA from 1 species
ACGAACGCUGGCGGCGUGCUUAACACAUGCAAGUCGAUCGGAAAGGCCCUGCUUUUGUGGGGUGCUCGAGUGGCGAACGGGUGAGUAACACGUGAGUAACCUGCCCUUGACUUUGGGAUAACUUCAGGAAACUGGGGCUAAUACCGGAUAGGAGCUCCUGCUGCAUGGUGGGGGUUGGAAAGUUUCGGCGGUUGGGGAUGGACUCGCGGCUUAUCAGCUUGUUGGUGGGGUAGUGGCUUACCAAGGCUUUGACGGGUAGCCGGCCUGAGAGGGUGACCGGCCACAUUGGGACUGAGAUACGGCCCAGACUCCUACGGGAGGCAGCAGUGGGGAAUAUUGCACAAUGGGCGGAAGCCUGAUGCAGCAACGCCGCGUGCGGGAUGACGGCCUUCGGGUUGUAAACCGCUUUCGCCUGUGACGAAGCGUGAGUGACGGUAAUGGGUAAAGAAGCACCGGCUAACUACGUG